rnacentral:tRNA from 1 species
GCCUGGGUGGCUCAGUCGGUUGAGCGUCCGACUUCGGCUCAGGUCACGAUCUCACAGCUCGUGGGUUCGAGCCCCGCGUCGGGCU